UAAAAGAUUAAAACUAGGGAGAGCUAAGA
rnacentral:piRNA from 1 species